GGCUACGUCACACGUGUGCGACAGCACCUGCUCCGGACGUCAGGCUCUCUAAGGACAACGGGGUUCUUCCUUGUGAGGUUGAGGCGCCCGAGAGGCGAUCGGAGGUCGGAGCCGAUUCAUUCCUGCUUGACUUUGGGUCGGUGCCUCGUGAGCGAGCUCAUUUCCCGGGGUUGCGGGUCCUUGCCUGGAGACACGCGAGUUGGAGAGCGCGUGCGCGGGUCGUUCCCUUCCCGUGCUGCCCGCGUCCGCAUCGUCCGGACCCGGUUGUCUCUAGUAUGUGGAAAGGCUCGGGCUGGGAACUUCGAGGGAGGAGUUACCCCCUCGAGAUCCGGAGGACCAGAGCGGAGAGCAGGGCUACUGAGACCCUACAGGAUGUGACUCCGAAGAUCUCGUGCUGGACACGAGUGGCUACCGAGCCCGGAGAGCUUUGCGCUUCCUCCUCCUGCUCCCUUUCCAGAGAAGGAGUCUUUUCAGUCGGGGGAGCUUAUUAAAGCUCUGGCGGGAAAGAGAGAAUCACAAUUAAAGAAAUUAUUCCUACUCUGCAAGGUCGGACACUUUAAUAGUAGUAACUGGGGAGCGAUUGCGUUCAGGGAGAUCGAGGACAAGUAUCCUGGCCAGAUCCUGACAUGUUCUCCCGGUUGGAAAAUUGAAAGUGUAAUGUUAACAGUAAAGUUUGACCUUUUAAGCUAGUGGAGGAAGUUCAGACCACAGCUGACCUGGUACCUUAGAUGACAGCACUGAAUCUGAAGACAAAGAAGUAUCAACUUAGAACUGACUAUUAUUAGUCACUACUUCAGAAAGUAUUUUUACCUUAUUUUGGUAUGUUUAGUUAGUACUAUGAUUUGUAUGACUUUUCCAUGUGUUUGAAAAGUAACAGAAGCUAAAGGCCAUUGUACAACUUGGUAGCAGUCCCGUUUUACGUUGCAUUUGGUUUGCCAUUCUGUAGCUGUGACUCCAGCUUGCUUUAGUUGAGCCUUGUCAUUCUUCACUCUCUGCAAACCAUUCCACGGAUUUGUUUUCCUUCACAAAAGUAGUUUCAUUUUCUUUAUUUGAUUGAUGGUCAUUGGCUACUGAAAUAAAAUAUGCAUUUUAAGGUAAAUUGUAUGUAUUUAAGAUAAAACUUUGUGUAUUUUAAAAUACUUUUUUACUGUUCUUUUUUCUUUAUCUUUGUUUUUUCUUUCUUUCUUGAGAUAGAAGUGGUAAGCCUGCCUUUGACCCCAGUGUUGGGGAGGAAGCAGCAGAAUGAUCGGGGUACACGAGGCCCUAUCUCAUAAAACAACAAAAAGAUUGAGAUAGUAUCUUACUGUAUAGCCCAGGCUAGUCUUGAAUUCUUGAUAUUCCUGCCUCAGCUUCCUAAGUGCUAGACUUACAGGCAUUCAUCACUGCCUGAACCUAGUACAUAUUUUAAUUUCUUAUGUGGAACUUUAAAAAAUAAGGAGCCAGACUUAGUGGAGCACACCUUU